rnacentral:rRNA from 1 species
AGUGAACGCUGGCGGUAGGCCUAACACAUGCAAGUCGAACGGCAGCACAGUAAGAGCUUGCUCUUACGGGUGGCGAGUGGCGGACGGGUGAGGAAUACAUCCGAAUCUACUUUUUCGUGGGGGAUAACGUAGGGAAACUUACGCUAAUACCGCAUACGACCUACGGGUGAAAGCAGGAGAUCUUCGGACCUUGCGCGAUUGAAUGAGCCGAUGUCGGAUUAGCUAGUUGGCGGGGUAAAGGCCCACCAAGGCGACGAUCCGUAGCUGGUCUGAGAGGAUGAUCAGCCACACUGGAACUGAGACACGGUCCAGACUCCUACGGGAGGCAGCAGUGGGGAAUAUUGGACAAUGGGCGCAAGCCUGAUCCAGCCAUACCGCGUGGGUGAAGAAGGCCUUCGGGUUGUAAAGCCCUUUUGUUGGGAAAGAAAAGCAGCAGGUUAAUACCCCGCUGUUCUGACGGUACCCAAAGAAUAAGCACCGGCUAACUUCGUG